rnacentral:tRNA from 1 species
GCUCUCGUAGUGUAGUGGUCUGCACGGCGGAUUGUCGAUCCGCGAGUACGAGUUCAAUCCUCGUCGGGAGCGCCA